ensembl:lncRNA
CUUGAGUGUCACUUUGAAUGAGUCAGAGAGGAUAACGAGCUGAUGCAGGAGAAUGUGUGAUGUGAUAUCAUGUCUUUUCAUGUGCUUCUCAGUUCUACCAAGGUUACUUCUUUAUGAAUAAUCAAGAAUGGAAAAGAUGUAAAGAUUGGACUCUGAAGUAAACAGAAAGCUUACUCAACUCAUACCACGACACUCAUUAGGACAGGUGUUUGAAAUACGCCUGCAAUGCUUGCUUUCUCUUGAAGAUGGACUGCACUGAGCUGCCUGGAGGAAUGAAACCUGCUUGUCCUGGCUUUUCUCAGUGUACUUUGAAAGACGUGGGAGGGGGACAUCAGGGUGCUCAGAUCUGAGUACCUUCCCUUGUUAGUGCUGUAAGUUCUUUCUUAGCAGAGGAAACUGUGACCAAGUGAAUAUAUGUCAUUAUCUCAAAUGAAACAUGAUUGUAUUUCCUAUUUUUUCUAACAGCACAGAGGUCAUUCUAGACAUUUCCAAUCCUGUAAGUUCAUCAAUUUCAUCAGUUCUGACCUUUCCUUCAUUUUUUGUUACUGCAGCUGUAUCUCAGCUUAGGCUAGCGGAUGCUUCACUUGUCAUUUUUGUCCCUGACCCGUGGAGACAGCUGAGAUCCAGGCACUCAAAAACCCAGCACGGACGUGCACUCUGCUGUUCAAGCUGGUUCCAGGCAUACAAGGAUAUAAGCAUGAAAAUGAUACUGUUCUAUACAUACCUGUUACCAAAAAGUAAUCUCAAUCAUCUUUGAACUGGUGACCAAAACUCUAAGCAUGUAAUAAUUUAACUUGCUUUAUUACAUAAUAAUAAUUUAAGAUAAAUCAAAAUUUGUUAAAAUUUAUUGAGUAAAAUUUCCAGUGGGUGUUUUUUCCUCCAGGAAAUGUAAGGAGUUCUGCAACAUGAAAAUGGGUUGAAAAGCCUCUAUCUAAAGACAUACCUCUGUGCCACAUAUUUUCUUCAGAGCUACCGAUAUGUUCUGGUGUUACUUAUGAUAGAGUUUCCAUCCAGAACUUGUCUGAAAUCUCACAGCAAACUGACAGAAGCCGUGGGAGAAACUGAUCGAUAAUUCCCAGUAUAAUUUGUGAUAUACUGCUGCAUGACAGUGAAAUUAAAAUGUUAUUGAAUUAGAGAAAAUAUUUGAUUGGUAUAAGUGAGUAUUUGGCCAGAAUUUAUACCUGUGGAAAGCUGGGUAAAGGUGGUAUCACAGUAGUUUUGAAGAAGUAAAAAACAUUUUUAAAAUAGUUCUGUUUACUGAAUACAAAGGAUUUAACGCUAUCUUAAAAGUGAAUAAAAAAUAAAAAGCUCCUCUCUCACCUGACUCUCAGACAGGGUGAUGCUGAAGAGGAGGUGCCACCAGGGCUGGCAUGCAUGCUGCAGGCUGCUGAGGAGGGCAGGAGUGAAUGGUACUGGUGCCAUGUCUGCUGGCCACGUCUACAUCUCGAGAGGUGGAAGGCAGUGUGGAGCACGGAGCUCAGCAGAAACCUGACCGAGUUUUGCCUGUGGUCUUUUUUUUUAAUAGGUCUGCUUCAGACUUAUACAGAUUUCACUGUAAUUGCUAGUCAUGACAGUCUUCAAAUGCUGAAGGUGAUCAAAGGCAUCAGCUUAAAAAUACAAAGCUGGCAUUACAAGGAAGUGAUUUAACCUCUCUCGGUAGGCAGGUGUGUGUUGGGAGCAGAGAGGGGUUCAUUGCUUCAGGCAUCUAAAUUGCAGCUGUAGUGAAAAGCAGCAAUUUGUCUAAAUCCAUGACAAAAAUCCUUCUAAACUGUCCUAACAGAUCUGCUCUGUAACCUGACUGUACGGGGAAAUAAUAAUUUUAAA